CUACUGCCCCCCCUCUUAGAAGAGUAUUCUCCAUCAGAAAUGGCUCUUACAACACGCAACCUUGAAGUUUUUGCAGGUGGAAUUGAAGAGAGAGAUGCGGUGAGGAAAGGGUAGGAAAGAGAGAGAAGACAAGUUGGGGUUUUAGGUGGGUUUUGGAAUUGAGAUUUAGGGUUUAAGGUUUUGGAUAAAGGAGCAAGAUUGAGAGCUGCCAUUGCGGUCACUGUGUAAGAGGGAAACAAUGAAGUGAUAAGGGGAAUUUGGCUUGGAUUUUCA
rnacentral:lncRNA from 1 species